AUAGCAACCCUAACAAAAGCGUUGACCAAUUUUGUUUGCAGUAAGUGAUUUUUGUUGGGGUAGCUGUU
rfam:Salmo salar isolate Sally breed double haploid chromosome ssa03, whole genome shotgun sequence.